rnacentral:rRNA from 1 species
CGGGGAAUUUUGCGCAAUGGGGGAAACCCUGACGCAGCAACGCCGCGUGAGUGAUGAAGGCCUUCGGGUCGUAAAGCUCUGUCAGAGGGGAAGAAAUGCAGGGGUGCUAAUAUCAUCUUUGCUUGACGGUACCCUCAAAGGAAGCACCGGCUAACUCCGUGCCAGCAGCCGCGGUAAUACGGAGGGUGCGAGCGUUGUUCGGAAUUAUUGGGCGUAAAGCGCGUGGAGGCGGUUUGGUAAGUCUGAUGUGAAAGCCCCCGGCUCAAACCGGGAAGUUGAUUGGGAACUGUCAGACUUGAAGACGGGAGAGGGUAGUGGAAUUCCUAGUGUAGGAGUGAAAUCCGUAGAUAUUAGGAGGAACACCGGUGGCGAAGGCGGCUACCUGGACCGAUAUUGACGCUGAGACGCGAAAGCGUGGGGAGCAAACA